CAGGGAGACAACAAAAUGUUUAAUAUUAUUAUUUUGUCACCUUAGGUCGAUCGGUAUCUCACAUUCUUAAUUUAUUAAGGAUUUCAUUUCCUAAGUUUUUCUAGGUCACACCCAUUAUUUUUCCUGGGCCAUUAGCUCAGGUGGUUAGAGCGCACCCCUGAUAAGGGUGAGGUCCCUGGUUCAAGUCCAGGAUGGCCCAUAUCUCUAUGUUGGGGGUAUAGCUCAGUUGGUAGAGCGCCUGCUUUGCAAGCAGGAUGUCAGCGGUUCGAGUCCGCUUACCUCCACUGAUUACCACCUCUUCCAUAAUCUUAUGAGGGAAAUUUUUUGAGUUGUGAUCAAAUUCUGAACGAUUCUAGCUUCCUAAUGAAAUCAUUAAGAUGCUGGACUCAUUGAACUAAUUUUCAUUGUUUUCAGAGAACCUUGACAACUGCAUAGAUUAUUUUUUUAAAGACAAUAAGCAUCUUUAAUGAUGCAGAUUUAUUAUUUGUGCGAAUGCAUUAAAUAACAAUUCUAUUAAGCUGAUGCUUCAAUUUUUGAAGUUAUU
rnacentral:tRNA from 1 species